ensembl:miRNA
AAGGCUUUCCCACACUCGUUACACUGAUGACUUUUCGAGUGACUGUGGAUUCUCUGAUGGUGGGUGAGGAGCAGGGCCUGA